ensembl:lncRNA
GAUACUUGCUGAGAAAGAUCUGCAUAAGGAAGUGUGCUUUCACCAUCUCCUCCACCAAAGGGAAUUGUAAUUAAGAGCAGAUUGAGGAGCAAAGAAGUAUUAGAGUCAAAACUUGUCCAGACACCGCUCAUGUCUGCCAAAUGGAUGGUGAGACAGGAGGUCAGACUGAAUUAAUUUGCACAGUUUCCCAUCUGGCGUCUGAUUCAUUCUGUGAGGCUGCUGGAAACAGAGGAGGUAUACAGAUGACUGCUACUAAAACAUGACCAUAUGGGCGCAUCAACAUCCACAGGAAACUGGAGUCUCUGGGGUGGUGGCUUCACAUGGAAGACAACAGAAAGAAGUCAGAACAAAGACAAAUCGCUCUGCACUGGGCUUUCCAGCCGAGCAGAUCCAGAAAGAGACAACAUCAGAAGAAAGUGUUUUGUGGUUACCCAAAGCUGCUUCUCCUGUUCCACCUAAGGAACAUCCAGUCUUCUGAUUGCUUGUUUUCUGUGCUUAUGGUACUUGCGGUGUUACAUAUCUUGGAGUUUAUGAGGAAAUCAAGCAGCGCUUGCUCAGCACCUGAUAGUGCAGAUGCUAAGCUGGAGUCAUCAUUUCUGCCAUCCAGUUUGUGCUCACCGUGAAACUUGGAGGAAAAUGUAAGUGCUUCUAUUUUCACAGGCGAAGAGAUACAUGUUCAGGAGAAGGUGAGUCCCAUUGUCAGUAAAUACGGUAUCAGAACUUGGAUCCAGACUUUUUUGACCACACAAUUGUGAUCCUUUCUUUGGAGGUGCUGGGCCGGGGUCUGCCUGUUUUGACAGAUAUGUUGCGAAUAAGAAAUAUUGUAGAAAGCCACCAAGAUCUGGUCUUCAGCACAGAAUAUUCCCCAUUUUUGGAGAUUCACAACACAUAUCGGAGUGAUACAUUUGGUGGGGAAGCCAGACCAUCAAACCUCCACUCACCUCACACCUCAUUCUCCCUUUGUUCUCUUCCUCGGAACAUUCUGGAUGGACAAAGAGACCCAGGAAAUAAAUGCCUCCUAGUGAGAAAAGAAUGCCUCUUACCUGAAUUUGCAAAAACCAAAACCUGACAGAAAUUGCUUUGAAAGCAUGGGGGACUAAGGACCUUAACGUUUCACGUGGAAAUUAAUUAUGGAGGUCCUGGUAUUAUUAAUCUGAGUAAUACAAAACACAUCAAGUAGAAAGUAUACAUUUCCUGUGUUGUCUUUAACUUUAUUUUAAUGUAAAAGUUUACAUAAGGGGUUUUACAGGUGGACUUGGGAUUUCAGUUGUCCAACACUUUGCUUUUUCCAUAAAGGCUCAAUCAGACUUUCCAAUUACAGGCAUUUUCGUUAUCACUAUUCUUGAAAUACAGGGAUUACUACUGUUAUGUAUCUGCUUCUUUAGGUGUUUCCUUGGCAGAAGGACCCCAUAAAUAGUGGAGCAGAGGAGAACCCUGUGUUCCUGACUAUGGUGUGGGAAUCCAGCCACAUGGCGCUGAUGCCCACUCCUGUCAAGAUGCAACCCCUCUGCCCUUUGCAACCUUGCCCAGAGCCAAGUGUGGGAUCUGUCAACAUAUGGCUCAGUUGGACUCAAGUUUCCUUUUUUAACACUGGAAGCAAUUUUAAUGAAUACAUUAAUACUGGGGACAAGAUGGAAAGGAAGGGAUGUUUGAAUUAACUAGGGAAUAAAAUAUCAAGUGUAUCUUGCCCUCCUGAUGGCAAUGUACAGUUCUUCUCAUUGAAAUUGAAACAAGAAAAUGCCAAAAUGGAACAUAUUGUUAGACUCCUUAAACUGAACGUUGCAAAAAUUGUUUGGUAUAAAAGAAAUCACAGCAUAAACAAAGUACAUGUUCUUCCUGGGACACUAUGAUCUGACGUUGGGCAAUUUAGAACGUUUUAAUGGAAUAUAAAUAUGCAUGAAAAUGUUAUGUAGCAGAGUGAAAGAUCAGGGUCAAUUACAAUAUCAUAAUUAUACACUCAAGCACGCAAACACGCACAUAAAUACGUAUACUCACGUACGUGUGGAUUUUCCCUCUCAUGCUUCCUUAACCUAGAGCUCAAGGGUCAAGCCAAGUUGUCUGAGUUCUUACUGAGACACGAGGAAUAAUAUGAGAGAAGGAGCGAGGCAGCACUCAUAUGCUUCUUUCUUUUUCUUACUCCUCUUCCCUUUCCCUGUUCUCCCGGCCCGGGCUGGGCAGGCUGAACCUUGGAGGAGGCUCACCCAGGAAGGAGUGGAGGAAGCACAAAGACAGUAUUAGCCUGGUGAGGCAGACGGUGCAGGGUGGCUAACUGGGUGUGAAGCUGCACCCACCAAUCUUGGCCACAGCCACUCCUAGUUCAUGUGUGGUCCCAAGGAGAGCAGCAACAGGUUUCUUGUGUUUUUGCUGCAUUUCAUUCGUGGUUCUACCUCUAUUUCUAAUCUCCAAUAUCUAUUCCUCCCUUCUAGUCACCCUCAUGUACUUUCAGUGCUCUUUAAGGAAUUCUGUGCCUGCCUCACCCCCACUUCAGCUGGAACAUCGCCCUACCUGAUCCAGACACCAUCCUGGCAUCCUGGGGUCGCAUAGGUCCCCUAAUUUAUUUUAGUAUUUGACUAUGUAAUCUCUCUUUGAGGGACACUUACACAGUCAUGCAUCACUCAAUGAUGGGGGUACAUUCUGAGAAGUGUAUCCUUAGGUGAUUUUGUUGUUCUGUGAACACCAUGGCGUUUACUCACACAAACCUACUACCUGGUACAGCCUACUACACCCCUGGGCUCCCUGAUAUGGCGUAUUGCUCCCAGGCUACAAACCUGUACAGCAUGCCAUUGUACAGAAUACUGUAGGCACUUAUAAUACAAUGGUAAUGAUUUGUGGAUGUAAACAUAUCUAAAUAUAGAGAAGGAAACUUUCAGCUCCAUUAUAAUCUUAUGGGACCACCAUCUUAUAUGUAGUCAAUAGUUGACUGAAAUAUCAUUAUGUGGUGCAUGACUGUAUUUUAUUUUAUUUUAUUUUAUAUUUUAUUUUAUUUUUGAGACAGAAUCUUGCUCUGCCAUCCAGGCUGGAGUGCAGUGGCAUGAUCUAAGCUCACUGCACCCUCUGCCUCCCAGGUUCAAGCAAUUCUCCAGGCUCAGCCUCCCGAUUAGCUGGGAUUAAAGGUGUGUGCCACCAUGCUUGGCUGAUUUUUGUAUUUUUAGUGGAGAUGGGGUUUCACCGUGUUGGCUAGGCUUGUCUUCUGACCUCAAGUGAUCUACCCACCUCGGCCUCCCAAAGGGCUGAAAUUACAGGUAUGAGCCACCACCGCACUGGCAUAACAUGACUGUAUUUUAAAAAGAGAUUUAUUAAGUUCAUCUUUAUUCGAUAAAAAUGUGUAGGAAUAAAUUGUUGAAGAGAUGAAGCUUCAAAUGGUCUAACAAGAACUUUGUGUAUGAUUUGGUACAAUCUCCUACCCACCUUCUCAAAGUUCCAGGAAAUAAAACACACAGGAAAGCUUUGUCUGACUGAGUAAAGUGAUGGCCUGACCAGCACACGGGCAUAAAUCUCUUCCCCACUAUUCUGAGUAAUUCCACUCAUUCAUUCAUUCAUUCAUUCAUUCGCUGAUUCAGAAACAUCGUUCAGCUUUUACUGCAUCUCAGACACUGGAGACUCAAAGGGAAAUAAGAAUCUGACCUUGUCCUUGAGAAUCCCAUAGUCUGGGAAUAGAGAGAUGCUAACUUUAUUUCCGUUAUAGCCUUCACAAAAUUGGAAGUGAAAUAGUUGCAAGCAAUACUCCUGACUUCCAGCAGCCAUGGAGCUUGUGUGGUGGUUUUAUGAGGUAAAUGUCAUCAUGCCUGUGGCUCUGACAAAUGAGCUUCAAGAGUUCAGGGUUGCCCCCAUCAGGAUGCUAUUCUUCCUGCAAAGAUGCGUCCUGACUCAUUUGUACUGCAUUUGACAGCGAUCCAGAUCAGAUCCAGACAGGGGCAGAGAUGUGGUCAUUAAAGGUGUUACUCUCAUAGAACUCUUAGCAUGGAGAACACAGCCAGGCUCAUCAUCUUUAUCAUUAUUGUGACUAUCAGACACAUAUGUAUGUCCCUAGUCUCCUCCUAAG